CUAUCUGACGACGUCGCAAAACACUAAGCACUUUAUAUUCAAAAUCAAACUAAUAAUAAUACAAAAUGGGGGUAAGCUUAGAUAUCCCACAAUCGCUGCUUGCAGGCUACUCUAGACAGAAGGGUCUGUCUGAGACAUUCACAAAAGGGAGUCAUCUGUUGAGCUAGGAGUCGUUCUUGCCACGUGGACUAACGCCGCCCAAGCAUUUCACGUACCGAAGCCACGUUUGAGCUUCUCUAUCGAUAUGUUCGUCUCACUGAAAUACAUUAGUUUGUUCAUUGCUUUGUUGUGCUUGGUGUAGAUUUUAUAUCUGUUGUGAGCUCUGAUGCGUGUAUCUGAGUUUAUGUCUGACCAUACGUAUCGGGAGUAGCGUGACAGUCGUGUCGGCAGGCAUAGCUCUCCACUAUUACACCAAAGCUGCGUAUGGCUAGGUUCUGGCGGAUCGCGUCCGCGGUCGUAACGACGUGUAGAACAACAAUCAUCGGCGCCCCUCGCCUCCGCACCACAGGUGCCCCUGGACACCACCGAUGCCCGUUCACAAGUGUCGCGAUACUCGGCGGUGGCACUUCCCACCAAUCGGGGGCCCCUUUGUCUCGUGACGUAAAGAUCGCGCUAGCGCUGUUACUAGCAGUAGGCCUUUGGGCUCGCUAUGGGGCGGACGCGUGUAGUUCGCUCGGAGGAAGAAGAGCGGAAAUAGAAAGAGCCCCAACGCGCACAUAAGCGCCAGUGGGCGCGAAAACACGCGAAGCCGUUGAGCGUGCAGCCGCAGCCGCUGGCUUUGCUGGCUUCCAUAUUCACAGUAGUGCAAGGGCUGUGAAUGUUUCAAUAAUGGGCUCUCAAUAAAUGGAGCUCCGUUCGGUGUUUGCUCAUCGUAACGUUUCAUUGAUUCAGAAUGAUUAAACGCGCAACAAUGUCCUUGAGAUGCAUACGCGCUUUGAUUCGACGUUGAUUUUAACUUGGUUCACGCGUGGCAUUCCCCCGCCUGUAAUGCCUGUAGAAUAAUAAAUUCGUGUUUCCUUUUUUCGCAUGAUAUGUGAGAAAGUCAUUUUGUUUAAGACAUGCUCAACUUUAUCCAAGCCGUUUCCUUUUAGCGAUAUUAGAAGCGCUGUGGACUUCGCGCCGUUAACCUAAGCUAACUGAAUUGUUGGUGGCACGUAGGCUAGGUGUCCUUAAGGUGACUCAUCACUUUCGCGUGAACUUUUCGUUCCGUUUUACGUCUUUGCAUUAGGUAAAGAUCAUUGCCUCUGUUUAUUUGCUAAAAGGAGCCAUGAGACCUUUGUGCUGUUUACUAAAUGUCAAUCUCCUCAUCUUUGAAUUCUACGCCUUUUCGCCAUUGUUCUGCGAACUUCGUCGAUGUGCAAUAACGAAAUUAAUUCGCUGCCCACGGUCCGGCACAUCUCUCAUUGGCCACGACGGAGCCCACUAGGAAUUUAAAGGGUGGUAGAAGGCCGCAUCGCGCCACGUAGUGUAGUUUUCUCACCUGUUUGACCAUUACCGAGCUGGCCUGCUCUUAAUCUUAAAAAGUAGCUGCAUUAGAACCGAGAGGAUGGCAUUUUUGUACGUGGUGUAUGCAAUCGUUCUACAUUUAUGCUUGACUUGUGCGGCAGAGACGGAUGGAAAAGUGACAAAGAAGGCUCAAGUGGGUGAGCCUUGUGAUGGAAACGAGGAUUGUGGGGAGGGAUGCUGCUAUCGCCCCGGUCCCGACAAUGGCACAGUGUGCGGAAAUCUAGGUAACGAUGGUGACGAAUGUUCCAAUGUCACUCUUAAAGAACAUACCACGACACCCGCCCUACCUUCCUGUCGGGAAGAUGAGGACGCCGCGGGAUCAACGGCCACAACCAAAAAGCCUCACUCACCUCCUUAUGAUGGAAAAUGUCCUUGCAAAAGUGGUCUUACUUGUGACUACAGUGAAGUGAAACAAAGGAGCCUUAGUGAGGAUGGAGGUUCGAGUGGAAAUGAAGAUAAAGUACAACUCGGAAAAUGUAAAU